GUGCUUAACACAUGCAAGUCGAGUGCGUAGUCCUCGCAAGGGGAUGGGCGCACGGCGCACGGGUGCGUAACACGUGGGCAACCUGCCCUUGGAUGGGGAAUAACCCCGCGAAAGCGGGGCUAAUACCGCAUAACACUCCGGAGACAGUGGUUUCCGGAUUCAAAGCCGAAAGGCGUCCGAGGAGGGGCCCGCGCCCGAUUAGGUAGUUGGUGAGGUAACGGCUCACCAAGCCUAUGAUCGGUAGCCGGUCUGAGAGGAUGGCCGGCCACACUGGAACUGAGACACGGUCCAG
rnacentral:rRNA from 1 species